ACAAUGGCUCCUUUAGGAGCCAUUAAAGUGAUUAGACAUUGAAAAAU
rfam:Chelonia mydas contig178836, whole genome shotgun sequence.